rnacentral:rRNA from 1 species
UACGUAGGGGGCAAGCGUUAUCCGGAUUUACUCGGUGUAAAGGGGGCGCAGACGGCGAUGCAAGCCAGGAGUGAAAGCCCGGGGCCCAACCCCGGGACUGCUCUUGGAACUGCGUGGCUGGAAUGCAGGAGGGGCAGGCGGAAUUCCUGGUGUAGCGGUGAAAUGCGUAGAUAUCAGGAGGAACACCGGUGGCGAAGGCGGCCUGCUGGACUGCAACUGACGUUGAGGCCCGAAAGCGUGGGGAGCAAACAGG